GGAAUCUUGCGCAAUGGGCGAAAGCCUGACGCAGCGACGCCGCGUGGGGGAAGAAGGCCCUCGGGUCGUAAACCCCUUUUCGGGGGGAAGAGCAAGGACGGUACCCCCGGAAUAAGCCUCGGCUAACUACGUGCCAGCAGCCGCGGUAAGACGUGGGAGGCAAGCGUUGUCCGGAUUGACUGGGCGUAAAGGGCGUGCAGGCGGCCCAGUACGUCCUCGGUGAAAGCUCCCGGCUCAACUGGGAGAGGUCCGGGGAAACGGCAGGGCUUGAGGAGAGCAGAGGAGAGUGGAAUUCCCGGUGUAGCGGUGACAUGCGUAGAUAUCGGGAGGAACACCAGUGGCGAAGGCGGCUCUCUGGGCUCUUCCUGACGCUGAGGCGCGAAAGCGUGGGGAGCGAACCGG
rnacentral:rRNA from 1 species